CGCGGGGUGGAGCAGUUGGCAGCUCGUCGGGCUCAUAACCCGAAGGUCAUAGGUUCAAGUCCUAUCCCCGCAACCA
rnacentral:tRNA from 2 species